UUCCGGUUGAUCCUGCCGGACCCCACUGUUAUCGAGAUGGGACUAAGGUAUGCUAGUCGAACGACCAGAACUAUGUCUGGAAGUGGCACACUGCUCAGUAACACGUAGCUAACCUACCCUUAGGACGUGGAUACCCCCGAGAAAUUGGGGUUAAUCCGCGAUAGAUGUAAUGUCCUGGAAUGGUAUUACGUCUAAAGGUAUUUCAUACAUGUUUGAAAUAUGCCUAAGGAUGGGGCUGCGGCCGAUCAGGCUGUUGGUGAGGUAAUGGCUCACCAAACCUUUGACCGGUACGGGCCAUGAGAGUGGUAGCCCGGAGAUGGACACUGAGACAAGGGUCCAGGCCCUAAGGGGCGCAGCAACCGCGAAACCUCCACAAUGCACUCACGUGCGAUGGGGCUAUCUCGAGUGCCACCUGAUGAAGGUGGCUUUUCCUUGGUCUUCAAAGCCUUGGGGAUAAGAGGGGGGCAAGACUGGUGUCAGCCGCCGCGGUAACACCAGCCCCUCGAGUGGUGGGGAUGAUUAUUUGGCCUAAAGCGUCCGUAGCCGGCCGUGCAAGUCUUCCGUUAAAUCCAGCGUCUCAAGCGUUGGACCGCGGGAGAUACUACACGGCUAGAGAGUGGGAGAGGUCAGCGGUAUUCUGGGGGUAGGGGCGAAAUCCUUUGAUCCCCGGAGGACCACCAGUGGCGAAGGCUGCUGACUAGAACACGUCUGACGGUCAGGGACGAAAGCUGGGGUAGCGAACCGGAUUAGAUACCCGGGUAGUCCCAGCCGUAAACGAUGCAUGCUAGGUGUUGGGUUGGCCACGAGCCACCCCAGUGCCGCAGGGAAGCCGUUAAGCAUGCCGCCUGGGAAGUACGAUCGCAAGAUUGAAACUUAAAGGAUUUGUCGGGGGAGCACACCAGGCGUGAGCCUGCGGUUAAUUGGAUUCAACGCCGGGA
rnacentral:rRNA from 1 species